rnacentral:misc_RNA from 1 species
GAUGAAGAACGCGGCGAAAUGCGAUAGGUAGUGUGAAUUGCAGAUGUAACGUGAAUCAUCGAAUCUUUGAACGCAAAUUGCACUCUCUGGUAUUCCGGGGAGUAUGCCUGUUUGAGGUCGCCAAAUCAACAUCGAAAUUCAUUUGCUUUUGUAAAUGUUUUAUCGGAUUUGAGCCGUCUUUUAUUUUUUUAAUUAAAGUGGCUUAAAAUGUAUUUUUUGGUAUCGAAAAACGUUAUUUUACGAUCAAAUUGAUUAAAAAAACAAACGUUUCGAAUGCCGUCUUUUAAUGUAAUACGCUUGACUGUGGUGUUAAUCAUAGUUUCAUUCGUAUACGAUUUUUUAAUUUUUGACCUCAAAUCAGGUAAGAACACCCGCUGAACUUAAGCAUAUCAAUAAGCGGAGGA